UUUGUUGUCUUUUAAUCCGGUUAGGAUACUUGGUUUUCACCCAGGCGACACGGGUUCAAAUCCUGCCAACGGAA
rnacentral:tRNA from 1 species